UACGUAGGGGGCAAGCGUUAAUCGGAAUUACUGGGCGUAAAGCGUGCGCAGGCGGCUAAGCAAGUCCGAUGUGAAAUCCCCGGGCUCAACCUGGGAACUGCAUUUGUGACUGCAUGGCUAGAGUACGGUAGAGGGGGAUGGAAUUCCGCGUGUAGCAGUGAAAUGCGUAGAUAUGCGGAGGAACACCGAUGGCGAAGGCAAUCCCCUGGACCUGUACUGACGCUCAUGCACGAAAGCGUGGGGAGCAAACAGG
rnacentral:rRNA from 1 species